UUCCGGUUGAUCCCGCCGGACCUGACUGCUAUCGGAUUGAUACUAAGCCAUGCGAGUCUUUGUAGUAAUACAAGGCAUACGGCUCAGUAACGCGUAGUCAACCUACCCUAUGGACAAGAAUAAUCUCGGGAAACUGAGCAUAAUUCUUGAUAGAUCAUAAUGCCUGGAAUGGUUUAUGGUUAAAAUGAUUCGUCGCCAUAGGAUGGGACUGCGGCCUAUCAGCUUGUUGGUGAGGUAAUGGCCCACCAAGGCGAUUACAGGUACGGGCUCUGAGAGGAGAAGCCCGGAGAUGGGUACUGAGACAAGGACCCAGGCCCUAUGGGGCGCAGCAGGCGAGAAAACUUUGCAAUGUGCGAAAGCACGACAAGGUUAGUCCGAGUGAUUUCUGCUAAAGAGAUCUUUUGCUAGUUAUAAAACCACUAGUGAAUAAGGGGUGGGCAAGUUCUGGUGUCAGCCGCCGCGGUAAAACCAGCACCUCAAGUGGUCAGGAUGAUUAUUGGGCCUAAAGCAUCCGUAGCCGGCUCUGUAAGUUUUCGGUUAAAUCUAUGCGCUCAACGUAUGGGCUGCCGAAAAUACUGCAGAGAUAGGGAGUGGGAGAGGUAGACGGUACUCGGUAGGAAGGGGUAAAAUCCUUUGAUCUAUCGAUGACCACCUGUGGCGAAGGCGGUCUACCAGAACACGUUCGACGGUGAGGGAUGAAAGCUGGGGGAGCAAACCGGAUUAGAUACCCGGGUAGUCCCAGCUGUAAACGAUGCAGACUCGAUGAUGCAUUGGCAUAUAGCCAGUGCAGUGUCGCAGGGAAGCCGUUAAGUCUGCCGCCUGGGAAGUACGUACGCAAGUAUGAAACUUAAAGGAAUUGGCGGGGGAGCACCACAAGGGGUGAAGCCUGCGGUUCAAUUGGAUUCAACGCCGG
rnacentral:rRNA from 1 species